GAGAUCAAAGAAGUUCGCGCGGGCGACAUCGCGGCUGCUAUCGGCCUGAAAGACGUGACUACCGGUGACACCCUGUGUGAUCCGGAAAACCCGAUCAUUCUGGAACGUAUGGAAUUCCCUGAGCCGGUAAUCUCCAUCGCGGUAGAACCGAAAACCAAAGCUGACCAGGAAAAAAUGGGUCUGGCUCUGGGCCGUCUGGCGAAAGAAGACCCGUCGUUCCGCGUAUGGACUGAUGAAGAAUCUAACCAGACCAUCAUCGCUGGUAUGGGUGAACUUCACCUAGAUAUCAUCGUUGACCGUAUGAAGCGUGAAUUCAACGUUGAAGCGAACGUGGGUAAACCUCAGGUUGCUUACCGCGAAGCGAUUCGCGCGAAAGUUACCGACAUCGAAGGUAAACACGCGAAACAGUCUGGUGGUCGCGGUCAGUAUGGUCAUGUUGUUAUCGACAUGUACCCGCUGGAGCCGGGCUCUAACCCGAAAGGUUACGAGUUCAUCAACGACAUCAAAGGUGGUGUAAUUCCUGGCGAGUACAUCCCGGCCGUUGAUAAAGGCAUCCAGGAGCAGCUGAAAUCUGGCCCGCUGGCGGGUUAUCCGGUAGUUGAUCUCGGUGUGCGUCUGCACUUCGGUUCUUACCAUGACGUUGACUCCUCUGAGCUGGCGUUUAAACUGGCUGCGUCUAUCGCCUUUAAAGAAGGCUUUAAGAAAGCAAAACCAGUUCUGCUUGAGCCGAUCAUGAAGGUUGAAGUAGAAACACCUGAAGAGAAUACCGGUGACGUUAUCGGCGACCUUAGCCGCCGUCGUGGUAUGCUCAAAGGUCAGGAAUCUGAAGUUACAGGCGUUAAGAUCCACGCUGAAGUACCGCUGUCUGAAAUGUUCGGAUAUGCAACUCAGCUGCGUUCUCUGACCAAAGGUCGCGCAUCGUACACUAUGGAAUUCCUGAAGUAUGAUGAUGCGCCGAACAACGUUGCUCAGGCCGUAAUCGAAGCCCGUGGUAAAUAAGCCGCAGGGUUAAAAACCAAAAUCCCGUGCUCUCUCCUGAAGGGGAGAGCGCUAUAGUAAGGAAUAUAGCCGUGUCUAAAGAAAAAUUUGAACGUACAAAACCGCACGUUAACGUCGGCACCAUCGGCCACGUUGACCACGGUAAAACUACCCUGACCGCUGCAAUCACCACCGUACUGGCUAAAACCUACGGCGGUGCUGCUCGUGCAUUCGACCAGAUCGAUAACGCUCCGGAAGAAAAAGCGCGUGGUAUCACCAUCAACACUUCUCACGUUGAAUACGAUACCCCNGCUGCAACUGUUUAUUAAAAACACAGCACUGUGCAAACACGAAAGUGGACGUAUACGGUGUGACGCCUGCCCGGUGCCGGAAGGUUAAUUGAUGGGGUCAGCGCAAGCGAAGCUCCUGAUCGAAGCCCCGGUAAACGGCGGCCGUAACUAUAACGGUCCUAAGGUAGCGAAAUUCCUUGUCGGGUAAGUUCCGACCUGCACGAAUGGCGUAAUGAUGGCCAGGCUGUCUCCACCCGAGACUCAGUGAAAUUGAACUCGCUGUGAAGAUGCAGUGUACCCGCGGCAAGACGGAAAGACCCCGUGAACCUUUACUAUAGCUUGACACUGAACAUUGAGCCUUGAUGUGUAGGAUAGGUGGGAGGCUUUGAAGUGUGGACGCCAGUCUGCAUGGAGCCGACCUUGAAAUACCACCCUUUAAUGUUUGAUGUUCUAACGUGGACCCGUGAUCCGGGUUGCGGACAGUGUCUGGUGGGUAGUUUGACUGGGGCGGUCUCCUCCUAAAGAGUAACGGAGGAGCACGAAGGUUGGCUAAUCCUGGUCGGACAUCAGGAGGUUAGUGCAAUGGCAUAAGCCAGCUUGACUGCGAGCGUGACGGCGCGAGCAGGUGCGAAAGCAGGUCAUAGUGAUCCGGUGGUUCUGAAUGGAAGGGCCAUCGCUCAACGGAUAAAAGGUACUCCGGGGAUAACAGGCUGAUACCGCCCAAGAGUUCAUAUCGACGGCGGUGUUUGGCACCUCGAUGUCGGCUCAUCACAUCCUGGGGCUGAAGUAGGUCCCAAGGGUAUGGCUGUUCGCCAUUUAAAGUGGUACGCGAGCUGGGUUUAGAACGUCGUGAGACAGUUCGGUCCCUAUCUGCCGUGGGCGCUGGAGAACUGAGGGGGGCUGCUCCUAGUACGAGAGGACCGGAGUGGACGCAUCACUGGUGUUCGGGUUGUCAUGCCAAUGGCACUGCCCGGUAGCUAAAUGCGGAAGAGAUAAGUGCUGAAAGCAUCUAAGCACGAAACUUGCCCCGAGAUGAGUUCUCCCUGAGACUUUAGGUCUCCUGAAGGAACGUUGAAGACGACGACGUUGAUAGGCCGGGUGUGUAAGCGCAGCGAUGCGUUGAGCUAACCGGUACUAAUGAACCGUGAGGCUUAACCUU
rnacentral:rRNA from 1 species